AUAAUAACUAGCUAGACUUUAUUUGGUUUAAUACACUAAUAUCAACAAUUACUUCAAUUUAAAUUCUGUUAGUGUUUGCUAAUUCAUAUAUUAAGAAUAGGAUAGGUUAAAGA